GGCACAAUGCAGGGGAACCCGCAGCAGUACGCGAGUUGAGAAAGGCCACACGCCUGACCCUUUGAACCUGUUGGUCAAGACCAUCGUAGGGAGCAAUGAUUAUGAGCGA
rnacentral:ncRNA from 1 species